AUGUCAAAAGAAGACAGGAGAGGACUGGGAAUCUCUACAGGGUCAGUGGUGAAGAUACAGAGUAGUUUUCUCCCAGAACCAAGUGAUUGUGGAGAAUGUGUUUUCCAUGAUACCCUUACAAUGUGGAUAACUGGGGGGAUGUGCACGCAGUCCUCAGACGUGAGUGUAGGUGAUGAACACCAAAUGUGCUCUAUCACUUCUUGUUUCUGGAGCAUAAGGACAGCAAUGGCAUUUACGUCCAUUAAUAUAAUGAUAACAUCCAAACCAAUUCUAAAUGAGCUUAGGGAUGUCAUACUUAGUUUUAAUUUCUGAGACAGAAAUAUUGAUGGGAUUUAUAGUCCCUGAAAGCUUGUUUCAGAAUGGUUUUUGCUCACUGUCUGGUUAGUCACUUGAAAGGCAGUCCUUUCAAAUGUGGUUUUCAUCUUGUAAUCACACAGAGACAGUUAGUGCUUUGAUUUAUUUAUUUAUUUAAAAAAAAAAAACAAAACACAAAAAACAACACCCACCUUUGAAGAAUUAUUCUGAUAUUUCAUAACUUUCAGGACUACAAGAGAUUUUAGGUAUCGAUACAUUUUAUUUUGCAGCAUGUGUCUACAGCUUAUCCAUAGCCUGUUAGUGGAAUGGUAAAAGAACACUUACACCACAAAUCUAUUACAAUCCUUGUGCGAACUUCCAGUUUUUCACCUUACUUGGAAAUCUGACCAAAUAUAGUGUGUGACCUAAUAUAUAUAUAUAUAUAUGUAUAUAUAAUGAUUUGUUUUAUUUUUUUUUUAGACUUUCUAUACUAAUUUGCUAUUAUUCAGCUGUAAUGUUGAAAUGAAACUGAAGAGUACUGAGUGAUGUUCAACAGUGCUGUGAAGAGAGCUCCUUAACAUUUACUGUGUUAACAAAUACACAAUAUUUACUUUUUAUUAUAAUUACUAUAAAAAAAAGUUCUGUUAACUGUACUUGCUUAAAAAGCCAGCCAAUUUUAUGAAAUUAUGUUUACUUCUACUAAAGGAACUCUGCUUAAUACUGGUGUCCUUUGUAAGUCUAAUUUUGGUCUCAAGUGCUUGUUUAAACCCAGGAAUACUAAACUACUCUGAACAUACUUACAACUGGAUCAGAAAAUGGCUUCUUGAAGCUAUAACAACAGAAAUUUUUGAAGAAAUCCAACCUGGUCCCUUGGUUUUGAUCUAGUUAGGACUUGUUCUUUUUACCUAAGGAGGAAAAAAUAAUGGAAAGAAACUGACUGUGUCUGUAGCAGAAUAUAAAACAGGAUUUGAUCAGAAAUAGAAACAAUGUCAUCUGUCUAAGAGUGCCAGAACUGCUAUUAUGUUUUGCUUGCUGCCUAUAACUAGCUGUUUUCCUGGAGUAUUCAACCCCAAAUAUAAGUUGCAGUUCAAAGACUGUGCUCUCACAAAACAUUUCUAGAGUUCAUUAAGUUCUCUGUGAUAGCUUUGAAGUCCCUAAGUUUCAUUCUCUUACGUAAGUUAGCAUUCUCUAACAGAGGAGGGGGAGUCUAGUGAAUCACUGAAAUUUCAACAGAUCAAAAAAAAAUAAAAUCCUGACCAGCUCCA
rnacentral:lncRNA from 1 species